ensembl:snRNA U6 U6 spliceosomal RNA
GUGCUUGCUUCGGCAGCACAUGCACUAAAAUCGGAACGAUACAGAGAAGAUUAGCAUGGCCCCCGUGCAGGGAGAAUGAGUCUUUCAUAAUGUUC